UUUUGCUUGCAAAAUCUCGUGCUGACGAGCGGCGGACGGGUGAGUAACGCGUAGGAAUCUACCUAGUAGAAGGGGAUAGCCCGAGGAAACUCGGAUUAAUACCGUAUACGUCCUUAGGGAGAAAGAGGGCUGAGCUUGAUGCUCUCGCUAUUAGAUGAGCCUGCGUAAGAUUAGCUUGUUGGUGAGGUAAAGGCUCACCAAGGCUACGAUCUUUAGCUGGUCUGAGAGGACGAUCAGCCACAUUGGGACUGAGACACGGCCCAGACUCCUACGGGAGGCAGCAGUGGGGAAUAUUGGACAAUGGGCGCAAGCCUGAUCCAGCCAUACCGCGUGUGUGAAGAAGGCUUUCGGGUUGUAAAGCACUUUAAGUGAGGAAGAAAAGAUAGUAGUUAAUACCUGUUAUCCGUGACAUUACUCACAGAAUAAGGACCGGCUAAUUCCGUGCCAGCAGCCGCGGUAAUACGGAAGGUCCAAGCGUUAAUCGGAAUUACUGGGCGUAAAGCGCGCGUAGGUGGUUUAUCAAGUUGGUUGUGAAAGCCCCGGGCUUAACCUGGGAACUGCAGCCAAAACUGAUUCACUAGAGUACGAAAGAGGAAAGUAGAAUUCACAGUGUAGCGGUGGAAUGCGUAGAUAUUGUGAAGAAUACCAAU
rnacentral:rRNA from 1 species